AGCGGCGGACGGGUGAGUAACACGUGGGUAACCUGCCUUAUAGAGGGGGAUAGCCUUCCGAAAGGAAGAUUAAUACCGCAUAAGAAGUAGAAGUCGCAUGGCUUUAGCUUUAAAGGAGCAAUCCGCUAUAAGAUGGACCCGCGGCGCAUUAGCUAGUUGGUGAGGUAACGGCUCACCAAGGCGACGAUGCGUAGCCGACCUGAGAGGGUGAUCGGCCACAUUGGAACUGAGACACGGUCCAGACUCCUACGGGAGGCAGCAGUGGGGAAUAUUGCACAAUGGGCGAAAGCCUGAUGCAGCAACGCCGCGUGGGUGAUGAAGGUUUUCGGAUCGUAAAGCCCUGUCUUUUGGGACGAUAAUGACGGUACCAAAGGAGGAAGCCACGGCUAACUACGUGCCAGCAGCCGCGGUAAUACGUAGGUGGCAAGCGUUGUCCGGAUUUACUGGGCGUAAAGGGAGCGUAGGCGGACCUUUAAGUGAGAUGUGAAAUACCCGAGCUCAACUUGGGUGCUGCAUUUCAAACUGGAGGUCUAGAGUGUCGGAGAGGUAAGUGGAAUUCCUAGUGUAGCGGUGAAGUGCGUAGAGAUUAGGAAGAACCCCGGUGGCGAAGGCGACUUACUGGACGAUAACUGACGCUGAGGCUCGAAAGCGUGGGGAGCAAACAGGAUUAGAUACCCUGGUAGUCCACGCCGUAAAUGAUGAAUACUAGGUGU
rnacentral:rRNA from 1 species